GGUGAGCUUCACUUUUGUUUACAUCCGGCCAAAGACGUCACUGAGCUGCACAUAUUACAGAAUUACUGAUGGCGUGUGUUUUAGUCAAAAAUAAAGCCCUUAAAAGUGAAUUACUGUGUAGACAAUGUGUUUAAUCACAGGUCAGGUUGCGGGUCUAAUGUACAUGAGGAAAUAUU